UGGCUUAUGAUGAUAAUUCAUUUAUCUUAGCGGAUUUCAGUGAGAUUUCUAUCAAUGAUCUGAAUGUUACACACACUGAAGCCC
rnacentral:snoRNA from 1 species